CCUACGGGAGGCAGCAGUGGGGAAUAUUGCACAAUGGGCGAAAGCCUGAUGCAGCGACGCCGCGUGAGGGAUGACGGCCUUCGGGUUGUAAACCUCUUUCAGCAGGGAAGAAGCGAAAGUGACGGUACCUGCAGAAGAAGCGCCGGCUAACUACGUGCCAGCAGCCGCGGUAAUACGUAGGGCGCAAGCGUUGUCCGGAAUUAUUGGGCGUAAAGAGCUCGUAGGCGGCUUGUCACGUCGGUUGUGAAAGCCCGGGGCUUAACCCCGGGUCUGCAGUCGAUACGGGCAGGCUAGAGUGUGGUAGGGGAGAUCGGAAUUCCUGGUGUAGCGGUGAAAUGCGCAGAUAUCAGGAGGAACACCGGUGGCGAAGGCGGAUCUCUGGGCCAUUACUGACGCUGAGGAGCGAAAGCGUGGGGAGCGAACAGGAUUAGAUACCCUGGUAGUCCACGCCGUAAACGGUGGGAACUAGGUGUUGGCGACAUUCCACGUCGUCGGUGCCGCAGCUAACGCAUUAAGUUCCCCGCCUGGGGAGUACGGCCGCAAGGCUAAAACUCAAAUGAAUUGACGGCUGNGACGNGCGACGACGACGACGAGGAGGAGG
rnacentral:rRNA from 1 species